GAUGAAGAACGUAGCAAAAUGCGAUACUUGGUGUGAAUUGCAGAAUCCCGUGAACCAUCGAGUUUUUGAACGCAAGUUGCGCCCGAAGCCAUUCGGCCGAGGGCACGUCUGCCUGGGUGUCACGCAUCGUUGCCCCCCCAAACUCCGGUUCGGGCGGGGCGGAAGUUGGCCUCCCAUGCGUGCCUGCGCGCGCGGUUAGCCCAAAAGCGAGUCCUCGGCGAUGAGCGCCACGACAAUCGGUGGUUUUUUUACCCUCGUUCCUCGUCGUGCGUGCCCCGUCGCCCGAACGCGCUCUUGCAACCCUUACGCGUCGCCUCGGUGGCGCUCCCAACGCGACCCCAGGUCAGGCGGGACUACCCGCUGGGUUUAAGCAUAUCAAUAAGCGGAGGA
rnacentral:misc_RNA from 1 species